GCUAUGUAAUAUUGUGGGCUAUAGACUUGCCACAUUAGCUAAAACAAAGGGAUGCUAAAAUGUGAAUAUUCGCUAAUCCCUAAACAGGAUAUAAUAUGGAUUGUAUGUCUGAAACUCGACUACAUGAAUAAGGAAUUACUAGUAAUCGUGCAUCACCAUGGCACGGUGAA
rnacentral:ncRNA from 1 species